rnacentral:lncRNA from 1 species
GUUUGCAAAAAAAAAAAAAAAGAAUAUAAACAGACAUGUGUUCAGUAUUGCUGAAUGGGUUAAUCAGUGUUUGGGAAAAGGAAAAAGGAAGAAUUUAAUCAACUAAUCAACUUAAUCUCUUCUUUUCCAAUUUUUCUGAAUAACCUCACAGAGCUCUCCCACUCUGUCCUCCCUUUACUGACUCAGUAAAACUGGUCAGGCCAAGAAUCUAUACUUUUUUCUAACAGGGCUCCAAAAUGAUCUGACAGUUUGAGAAAAUGUAACCAAAAUCUAAAAAUCCCAGAAUUCAAUUGGACUUCAGUAAUAAUGUCGACUCUGUUAGGUUGGCAUUUCUGUUUACUGCAUUCCCCACAUCACCGUAGCACCUGGCACACAAUAGGCAUUUAAUAGGCCUAGACGGUACAGUGUUAGAGUGCUUUCCUAGCAGAUGCAAGGUCAAUCCACAACUGGGUUCAAUCCACGCACCUCAAAAAAUUUUGUUUUAAAUUUGAAUAAAAUAAUAGUUCUCUCUCUCUCUCUCUUUUUUUUUUUGCAUUUUGAAAAUACUUGCUAAACAAUUAUUCGCUGAUCCUCACAGGCUAGAUAUCAGAGUCCUCAUUUUACACAAAAUGAAACUGAAUUCAACAAGAUCAGGUGACUCACCAGGUCACACAGCUAAUGAGAAUUGCCACAAACUCCCUCCAAGAAAUUCCCCUCACCCAGCAGAUAGAAUGAAUGUGAUAAGGAGGAUCAUGGGCAGAAGAAUGCAGAUCUAAACACACACACAC